rnacentral:rRNA from 1 species
GACGAACCGUGCGAACGUUGUUCGGAAUCACUGGGCUUAAAGGGCGCGUAGGCGGCUCACCUUGUCUGGGGUGAAAUCUUCCGGCUCAACCGGAAGUUGUCCUCGGAAACGGGUGGGCUGGAGGCAGGUAGGGGCGGGCGGAACUUCCGGUGGAGCGGUGAAAUGCGUAGAGAUCGGAAGGAACGCCGGUGGCGAAAGCGGCCCGCUGGACCUGCCCUGACGCUGAGGCGCGAAAGCCAGGGGAGCAAACGGG